CUGUUUGGGCUAUGGCAAAAAAAAAUGAUUUGAAAUUUGCUAACACGGCUCUGCGGGGUCGGAUGCAGAGGGGGGAAAAAAAAGGGGGGAUCCGGAACGGCCCGAGCAGGAAAGGAGGUUGUGAACUUGAACUGGAAACCUUUCCCCCCACGGAAGCCUGACUUUGAUUUGUUAUGGGUUUGUGCAAGAAUAAGCAGUGGUCCCUUAUGAACCCAGAUUUGAGCAGAUUUACAAGAGAUAAGGAAAAAAAAACUGAUGCAAUGUCACAUUUCCAAGAAGCAAAGCUCCGAAAAAGGAUACAGGAGCAUCAGAGGAAGAUCGGAUGACCAGGAAGUAGCCACUGAGUAAUUGGUCCCAAUCUAAAGACCUGGUGGGAUUUUCCAUGUAAUACAAUACAAAAUUACAUUUGUAUAGCGCCUUUCAUGCUGGGAGGACAUGAUGGAGGAGUGCCAUGUGUUUGAGAUGACACAUGGGAUUGAAGCAUAUAUCUGAAAGAGUGGGGCAGCGUGGGAAGAUGGUUCGAUUGACAGAUAUAUCCAAAGGCCAGCAGCAUCUGACCAGCAAGAGCAGUGGUGACUGGCUCCUGCCAUCUCCUGUAACUGCUCCUAGUGUGCUCUGUGGUCGAGAGGGGAAUUUAUUACCAUGUGCUAUUGGAGGAUGGGGGAGAUUUCUGUACAGUGAGGGGAUUACUGUGAGCUGACAGCUGUCACAACACAAUAAAUUAAGCCAUGUGCUGGAAAAGGGGGAAAAUACAGUGUCCUGACUGCAGGGGCAGAAUCUCCAAGACUUUAAAUAACUUGAAUUCACAGCCGCAGCCCCUCUUAGCAAUCAACACAAUGCAACCCCCACCCACAAAAAAAAGAAACCUGAUAGGGGUGGCAUAUGCUAACGGGAAAUUUCUACAUUUGUACAAAUACAAUAUUUGCUGAAAUGAUGAUUGCUGUAUA